ACAACUUCAACAAGCACUCCUGCAGUAGCUGCAGCAUACAUCUUGGUCUUCAGCAUCAAUGAACCAUUUGUUCAAGCACUGUCCAAUUCCAGCUCUCCUGAGUUUACAACAAAAGCUACAAAUAUCCGUAAAAGGCUUGAACCAAUUUACAAACGAGCCUUUGCAAACUUCCUCAGAAUGAUCAUUUUCAAUUUCUGGAGUGGUUCCAUUGUGACAAAUUCUACACUUGAAUUUAGUACUGGCACUAUCCCAACUGGCACCAGUGUAAAAGAUACCUUUGUUAAUGCGGCGAACACCACAGGCUUGAACAUUUCUACAGAUUCUAUAAAUGUCACCCAGGUUUCUGGUCAGUAUACACCUUAAAAAUAUAUAAUUUUAAUAAACCUACAAACAAAACUUAACCUAUUAACUAGCAGUAGCAA